AUUGAACGUUGGCGGCAGGCCUAACACAUGCAAGUCGAGCGGUAGCACAGAGAGCUUGCUCUCGGGUGACGAGCGGCGGACGGGUGAGUAAUGUCUGGGAAACUGCCUGAUGGAGGGGGAUAACUACUGGAAACGGUAGCUAAUACCGCAUAACGUCGCAAGACCAAAGUGGGGGACCUUCGGGCCUCAUGCCAUCAGAUGUGCCCAGAUGGGAUUAGCUAGUAGGUGGGGUAACGGCUCACCUAGGCGACGAUCCCUAGCUGGUCUGAGAGGAUGACCAGCCACACUGGAACUGAGACACGGUCCAGACUCCUACGGGAGGCAGCAGUGGGGAAUAUUGCACAAUGGGCGCAAGCCUGAUGCAGCCAUGCCGCGUGUGUGAAGAACGCCUUCGGGUUGUAAAGCACUUUCAGCGGGGAAGAAGGCGGUGAGGUUAAUAACCUUGUCGAUUGACGUUACCCGCAGAAGAAGCACCGGCUAACUCCGUGCCAGCAGCCGCGGUAAUACGGAGGGUGCAAGCGUUAAUCGGAAUUACUGGGCGUAAAGCGCACGCAGGCGGUCUGUCAAGUCGGAUGUGAAAUCCCCGGGCUCAACCUGGGAACUGCAUUCGAAACUGGCAGGCUAGAGUCUUGUAGAGGGGGGUAGAAUUCCAGGUGUAGCGGUGAAAUGCGUAGAGAUCUGGAGGAAUACCGGUGGCGAAGGCGGCCCCCUGGACAAAGACUGACGCUCAGGUGCGAAAGCGUGGGGAGCAAACAGGAUUAGAUACCCUGGUAGUCCACGCCGUAAACGAUGUCGAUUUGGAGGUUGUGCCCUUGAGGCGUGGCUUCCGGAGCUAACGCGUUAAAUCGACCGCCUGGGGAGUACGGCCGCAAGGUUAAAACUCAAAUGAAUUGACGGGGGCCCGCACAAGCGGUGGAGCAUGUGGUUUAAUUCGAUGCAACGCGAAGAACCUUACCUGGUCUUGACAUCCACAGAACUUUCCAGAGAUGGAUUGGUGCCUUCGGGAACUGUGAGACAGGUGCUGCAUGGCUGUCGUCAGCUCGUGUUGUGAAAUGUUGGGUUAAGUCCCGCAACGAGCGCAACCCUUAUCCUUUGUUGCCAGCGGUUAGGCCGGGAACUCAAAGGAGACUGCCAGUGAUAAACUGGAGGAAGGUGGGGAUGACGUCAAGUCAUCAUGGCCCUUACGACCAGGGCUACACACGUGCUACAAUGGCAUAUACAAAGAGAAGCGACCUCGCGAGAGCAAGCGGACCUCAUAAAGUAUGUCGUAGUCCGGAUUGGAGUCUGCAACUCGACUCCAUGAAGUCGGAAUCGCUAGUAAUCGUAGAUCAGAAUGCUACGGUGAAUACGUUCCCGGGCCU
rnacentral:rRNA from 1 species